rnacentral:rRNA from 1 species
UACGUAGGGUGCGAGCGUUGUCCGGAAUUAUUGGGCGUAAAGAGCUCGUAGGCGGUUUGUCGCGUCUGCUGUGAAAACGCGAGGCUUAACCUCGCGCCUGCAGUGGGUACGGGGCAGACUAGAGUGCGGUAGGGGAGACUGGAAUUCCUGGUGUAGCGGUGAAAUGCGCAGAUAUCAGGAGGAACACCGGUGGCGAAGGCGGGUCUCUGGGCCGUAACUGACGCUGAGGAGCGAAAGCAUGGGGAGCGAACAGG